rnacentral:tRNA from 1 species
UCCUCGGUAGUAUAGUGGUGAGUAUCCCCACCUGUCACGCGGGAGCCCGGGGUUCGAUUCCCCGCCGGGUUG